UGUCGAACCAUCUCCUGCACAGAUUCCACAGUUGUCUUCCUUGGCAUUGCUCCCAAGUUGUCGAUCACAGCCUACUGCCUGGCAUAUUCCACUAAUGCACAUAUCCAGUGAUUCCGUAUUGCAGCGAGUACCAUCUAGUACUUUUGGGGCAAGCUCCACAAUCAAGUUCUUUCCCAGAGCUUGACACUUCAAGGCACAUGGUGCAGUAGGGUCAUUAUACACGGGGAUCCACUCAUAAAAAUGCCCCUGAUACUUGACAUCAUUGUAGGCUGAACAUUGUUGUGCUCUGAAGUCACCAACAUCUGAAGGGCAGUCAUUACUACUGCAUGUUUUGUAUCGAAUAUUCCGACCUUCACAGUUCCUGCCAUUUAAACAUCUCCUCAGUGAGUAGGAGGCUCCCCCACCGCAGGUCCGUGAGCAAUCACUCCAGGCUCCCCAGGCAUCCCAGGAGCCAUCCUUAUCUUCAUCAGAACGGGUGAUUCUGGAGGUCUGAACAAAACGGAGGUUGGAGAGGAGAAAGAAACUUUAAUAGACUUCCUACACAUUUAAUGUUUGACAUCAAUAGCAGAGUAUAUUACUUUGCUGUUUAUUGACAAUGUCUCAAUUUACUGUUUUAAUAUACAAUAAUUACAUGGGAAAGGAAGCAGUGUUUGAAAAUACAGUGCAUUUCAU
rnacentral:lncRNA from 1 species